ensembl:lncRNA
UUCCCAUAAUUAACAAGCCUCUGGAUAACACCAGUGCAGGCCCAUUAGGUGUUUCAGCAUGUUUACAGGGAAGUUUUAAUGGCAUCUGUGGAGACGAACUGAAAUGAACUUCCUGAUCGUGCAUUAAAGGGAUAAUAUGGAAGCCUGUUUCUGCCACAGGAUAAAAAAGCAGGAAUCGCUACAAUAAUGGAAAAAAAAAACGCAGAGGUGUUAGUAUGUGGCGCUUCAAUUAUGAAGGAUGUCUGGGAAAUCAGACUGAGGGAGUAUCGACAGAAAUGGCAGCUGGAAGAGGAGAGGAUACGGAAGAGUGCUCUGGAAAGUUUAACUUUUCAUAGAAUCAAUCAGGAUUGGCAGGUGCGCAUGUCCUCCAAGAUAAAAACCCCUAAAAGACUGGAGAGAAAAGCAAAGCUUCCUGAAGAAUCGACUCUUGAUGCGCACAAAGUUAAAAAGACGCAUCUUGGCAGGCCACGAGGCUUCCAGAGCAGUCGGAUUCAGAGGCAGGUGGACUCGACAAAAACAACCAAAGCCAAUAAACUGGCCCUGUUACGUCACCUCAGUGAAAGCUGCCUGGGGUUGAUGGUGUGGGCGAAGUCUUGGAAGUUCUCGCAACCUGAAGAAAUUCCCUGUGUAUUCGACUGGGGGCAAUCAUGGAAGUUUCUCAAUUUUCAGCCAAGCACUGAUGGAAAACCCUGGUUUGACCUUGGGUUUGAUGCAAGCAGCAAUAUGAGCUCCAAUGACACGUUUCUAUGGGAGAAACUCAGCAAAGCUUUAGACUCUGAACACAUUCAACAAGACUUAGUCACUCCAGAAUGGGAAAAGUCUUGGAUAUUCAGUCAGAAAAGAAAAGAGUGCCAUGAAAACACAAAUAAAAGUGAUUGCAACAAAUUUACCAUCAUGCAGGGGGAUCGAAAUGAGGAAAGUGCAUCAGACUGGAAUAAGUCCUGGAAGUCAACGAAGCCUGUAAAAGAAGAUGUUAAGUCUGAUUUAAUUCAGCCCACAGCUAAUGAGGGAAAACAACCUGAAUGAUCAUGGAAUCAUUCUUGGAUGCACUUUAAGAAGCAGCUUCAUGUGAAGUCUACAACUACAAAUAAUUCAGGUUGGAGUGAAUCUUGGAGAGUUGCAAAAACCACAUCAGAGAAGGAGAUGAAAUCAAUCCAGUCUCAAGCGAUGGCGCCUGAGGAGCUGCAUCCCGACAUCUGCAACGUGAUAAUGAAUGUGUCUAGAGAGAUGAAGCACGCAAUUCCAUGGAGCUUUCAGUUCAGUGGGAGGGAUGCACAGCUGUCAGAGUAGGAAAAAUCAUGGACGACCAUAAAAAAUUUGUCGGAGUAUAAAGAAGAGAUAAAUAAAGAGGUGGAAGUGAAGGUUGAGACAUUGAAACCACACGAUCAACAAAGUGAACAUGUCAAAUUUGACGUACUUUCUUUGCAAAAAGCCAGAAGCGACAAGAGGUGUGUCACUUCUCACAGCAAUUGGACUGGAUGCUGAAACACCAGCGUAGAGAAGAAAGAGCCUUGAGGAACUUUGCAGUUCUCACAAACUCUCACCGAAUGGACCGAUUCUUGGAGGUUCACCAACUUUACUCUCAAACAAGACGGCGGUUUAUGGCUGCAGGGUUGGUCCACCAGUGCUCAACCCAGACCUAUUAGAAGAGUACGAGAAAAUGAAGAUACCCCGCAUAAUGGACCAGCUGGGGUUCGCUCCUGGGCUGAGUCCUGGAGGUCUACGAGACGUCAGCAUCUUCUGGAAAGACAGGCGGCAGGUGCAUCAAUUGAGCCGGUAUGUCAACAUACGUAUGCAAGAUCCAUGGCACGAUCCUGGGAACAGUAGUGGAUGUCAUCAACUCAUCUGCGCCAUCAUGAUAGACCCUCCAUGACUGCAUGGACUGAUUCUUGGAGAAUCUUCUCCACCUUGGAGGAUCUUCUGCCUGAACAUACGUGGUUUGAGAAAUCGAUGGAAAUCAAAGGCAGAAAGGAAUUUUGCAAGGCAUAGAAUGCAUUUAGCUGAUCAUUUGAUUCUCAAACCUUCAAAGAACGAUAUCCUGCGAAUGAGUGUAAUGACUCGUGGAGGGUUAAGAAGAGGUUUGAUGGUCCUGGACUUGCAUAUCUUAUGAAAAAAGAAGUGCUAGAUUGGGAUAAUUCUUGGUUGUUCACCAGCACAGAGUUUUAUCAAAGUCAAGGUGAAUGUUAUUUUAAUUUUCACUUGACGUCUGAUGUCAAGAGCCAUGCGACGCUCAAAUCAGUCCAGAUCGAGAGCAGGUCAGAGUGGGGUCGAUCGUGGAAAAUGUCAAACCCACAACCACCAAAGAACAUGGAGAACGCCUCGUGGGUUGAUGCAAAGCCGAAGUCAUUCAAUGCACAAGACCUGAUUCUUUGGUCCAAACACAAACGCAUCUAUAAUUUACCUUCUGCUUCGCUCAAAGACUUGACUCAAGUCCUGGAGGUUCAUGAAGAUAGACCUUGACUCAAAGCACAGGAAAGAUGAGGGUGAAUCUGUGAUUAUGACAAACACUACAAAGAUAAGAAAGCAAAUGUACUCGGAUAUAGAUCAACAGAAACCACAACAGAAGCGAUGGAGUGAUGCAUGCAAAAUGGCGAAGACGCAACCAAGACCAAAGCGUAAUGUUAAAUCCAAAUCUGGCAAUGUGGAAGAUGAAGAAAUGUUAGCAGAAUGGAAGGAAUCUGGGAAAUUCUCGAGUAAUUUAAAAACUCAUGAGCCUGCAAUGGUGUCUGCAUCUCUGAGCUGCUGCAAAAACUCUUGGAAAUUUCUCCUUGAUCCGAAUAUACCAAUGAACGGCCCAAAAACUAGCAAGAGUUGGUAAGGAUUACAGACAUUGCAGGUCAGGUGUCAAGAGUAUGU